rnacentral:tRNA from 1 species
CGGAUUGUGACGCAGCUUGGUAGCGCACCUCACUGGGGGUGAGGGGGUCGCAGGUUCAAAUCCUGUCAAUCCGACAA